ensembl:lncRNA
UGGGGUUGCACAGAGUUGGACACGACUGAAGCAACUUAGCAGCAGCAGCAGCAGCAGGAGGGGUCUUACUGGCCUCCAUCCUGACUUUCAGACUAUCGCCACCGUUGUCAUCAGCACUGAGGCAAGCGAUGCAGAAACCAGACCGUUGGCCAGCCUUCGGACAAGCCAGAACGUUGCAGUUAAGUGCCGUGCUUUUCCUUCCCUUCCCAUAGUAGAGCUGAGAAUACGGCAGCUUCCACCUCACUCUGCUGUGCCUGGGAGGAGGGCGUGGAGCCGUUGAAAAUGCCCUCAAGUUUAUCUUUUUUUCCGUUAGUUUUUUGGACUCAUGGCAUGUGACAUCUUAGUUCCCUUACAGAGAUCAAACCUGUGCCCCUGCCCUGGAAGCGCAGUCUUAGCACUGGACUUCCGGGACAUCACCCGGAUUUAUCAUUUUGAUUUGUGGGAUAUUUUUUGCUAGGGUGCUUGCUUAGUUUCUGCAGAUCCUUCACUGGUUUCUACAGUAUUGAAAAACUAUUUUGACCAGCAUGAUGUGGUUUACUUAGAGUUCUUGGGGGAGGCACAGUGGGCUGCCGUAGGUGUCGUAGGCGUGAUGCCGAAAGCGCAGCGUCUGUGCAGAGGUGCGGGAUGGAUCUCGGCGCUCAGUUUUCCGUGAAGCAGAGAUUUGUCUGUACUGCUUUGCGCAGUGAAGGGAGACACAGUGGGGACAUGCCCUGAAACGCAGUGCGUCCCAACCCCCGGGCUGUCUGUGAGGAGUUACUGGGUUCAAGGGAGGUCCUGUUGAAGUUUCAGGUGGGCACCUGUUUCUGAGAGCAUUGAGUGGGUGCUUGCAGUUCAACCCUGUGUUAUCCAAGGCUCGACUGUAUGUUUUUCCGCCUUCCUCUUGUGGAUGUCUGGGUCCAGUGAUUCCUGGGCACAUGAAGGCACAGGCAUCAGUGGUGUCAAGGUCUAGUUUCUCAGAACCCUGAGUUAGGGAGUUUGCGAGGAGGCUGGGCCUGGAACAGAGGUGAGCGGGAAGAGAUUGCGACUCUGAAGUGGACUGCUCUGCGAGUCUUCUGUCACCAUCUUGGCAGGGUAAGGUGACCUCUGAGGAUGUGCCCAUGUGCUUCUCUUUGGAGGAAUGGAAUCUGCUUGAUAAGGCUCAGUGAUCCAUAAACCGUGAUGUGAUGCUGGAGAACUUGGCACUUGUAACCCCCUGGGUUGGUGGUGUGUAGUGAGGAUAAGGAAGCAUCUGAGCGGAGCGUUUUGGCCGAUGUAAUGCCGCAGGACAGGACCCUCAAAGCAGGCGCAUUCUCUGUGCUUAGGAACACCAGGUGGCACAUAGGCACCAGGUUUGGAGGCCUGUUUGGACCACAGAAUCACCAAGAAAAAGCAUAAAUGGAGUACCAAAGACAUCGUGGGAAGAAUGCUUAUCUCCAGUAUGGGAGCUGCAGUGAGAAGGCAGAGCAUCCCUGGGC